CUAGGGUUUCUGGGGUCUCAUAACAGUCAGCCAUAUCAGUAAAUAUUAAAUCCAGUAUAUUUGUGUUUCUAGUAGGUUGCACUACAAUUUAUUUAAGAGGUAUAACUGGUGACAUUCCAGGUAUAACUGGUGACGUCGAUGGUGUACGGACGUGUAUUUUGUGCUCCGUUACUUCAACUUAAAUGAAUGUUACAAAUCACAAGUAUUUGAUAUAUU